rnacentral:tRNA from 1 species
AGAGAGGUGUCCGAGUGGUUGAAGGAGCACGCCUGGAAAGUGUGUAAACGGGAAACUGUUUCGAGGGUUCGAAUCCAUUCCUCUCUGCAA